CAGUAGCCGCGGUAAUACAGAGGGUGCGAGCGUUAAUCGGAUUUACUGGGCGUAAAGCGCGCGUAGGCGGUUACUCAAGUCAGAGGUGAAAGCCCGGGGCUCAACCCCGGAACUGCCUUUGAAACUAGGUGACUAGAAUCUUGGAGAGGUCAGUGGAAUUCCGAGUGUAGAGGUGAAAUUCGUAGAUAUUCGGAAGAACACCAGUGGCGAAGGCGACUGACUGGACAAGUAUUGACGCUGAGGUGCGAAAGCGUGGGGAGCAAACAGGAUUAGAUACCCCAGAGUCCCUGUCUCUUAUACA
rnacentral:rRNA from 1 species